GUAGGGUGCAAGCGUUAAUCGGAAUUACUGGGCGUAAAGCGUGCGCAGGCGGUUCUGUAAGACAGAUGUGAAAUCCCCGGGCUCAACCUGGGAAUUGCAUUUGUGACUGCAGGACUAGAGUUCAUCAGAGGGGGGUGGAAUUCCAAGUGUUGCAGUGAAAUGCGUAGAUAUUUGGAAGAACACCAAUGGCGAAGGCAGCCCCCUGGGAUGCGACUGACGCUCAUGCACGAAAGCGUGGGGAGCAAACAGGAUUAGAUACCCUGGUAGUCCACGCCCUAAACGAUGUCUACUGGUUGUUGGGGUUUUUUAACCUUAGUAACGAAGCCACCGCGUGAAGCAGACCGCCUGGGAAGU
rnacentral:rRNA from 1 species